GGUGGUGGUGGUGGUGGUGGCGGCGGCGCCGGCUGCAAAAGGGCUUGCUUCCAGAGCACUAGUCGUUAGAACGGAUGACAUUAUUUCAUCUUACCGAGAGAGAGAGAGAGAGAGAGAG
rnacentral:lncRNA from 1 species